GCCUCCAAAAUAAAAUUAAUAAUUAUAUUUACGAAUAUUUCAGAAUUGGAGUCGAGGAUGGUGGAAGGUACUCACCAGGUAUUGAACACUGUUCUAAGGAAGUUAGACCAUCGAGAAAUAGUACCAGAGAGAGGAGUUAUGUAUGGUGUCCAACGAAAUUUUGCAUCUAGUAUGAUGCCCAAAUAACUAAUAAGUGACAUUGGGAACAAAGGAAAUGGCUUUGUUAUCGUAAUAGACGUUAGGAUCUAUAUCUACGUCGAGUGAAAAUAACAGAAUUACAUUUCCCCGGAGCAACUUCAAAAGAUAACCAACCUAAAAUGGUCUUUAGGUCCUUAAGAGCUGAAUUAAAGUGUUCAGCGGCAAUAUUAAGAAAUUUAUUGGAAGUGAAAAUGACCAUAUCAUCAGCAUAAAUGAGACAUAGGUGUCCGAGUGACGUUAGAUACUUUUCAACAAUGCUAUAUAUAUAUUGAAUAGUAAUGGGCCAAAACAAAUGCCCUGCGGCAGACCUGUGAAUGCAGAACAAAUAUUAAGAGCCUAAAGGAGAGGAGAAGACGAUAUUUCUAUGAUUAAAGAGAGAGAGAGCAAUAUGUUUCAGAAUUUAGGAGGAGCAUGUGAAGAAAGAAGAUGUGAUAUAAGAGUGGAGACUGGAGAUAUUGACGGAGUCAAAGGCGCCACGGAUAUCAACGAAAAUAGCAACAAAAAAUUGUUUGUUAUGAAAGGAGUGAUAAAUAUGACCUAUGAACGUUGCGAGGCAUUCCGUGGUUCCCAGACCUUUCCUGAAUGGAAAUAUAUUUGUCGAUAAGAUAGAGUUAGUUUCAAGCCACCAACCAAGCCUUGAUUUAAGCAUAUAUUUGAAUAUUUUACAUUGAGAGGAAGAGUUCCCUAUUGGUUGAAAGGAAGUAUUAGUUUUGUUUAGGGAUAUGUAUGAUUUUAUAGAAGUUCCACUACGAGGGGAUUCGUUGAUUAUUAAAUGUUGUUUAUUUAUGUAAUUAUUUAUGUUGUUCAUUAUAGAGAGAAGAGAAGUGUUAAUGGGAAGGUGCUUGAGCAUAAGUGGAGAAAUAUUAUCGAGACCAGAUGCUGUUGACUUACGAGAAGAAAUAGCUAGUUGUAAUUCUGACAAAUUGAAAUUAUUAGUCAGAACAUGAUGGAGACAAACAGAAAGAGUAGAACAAGGAACAAUUUCGGGAUUUGUUUGGGACAUAACAUGGCGCAAUUUUAGAGCAAAACCUCUCGAACCAAUCAUCGUUUCUGGACGCAAGGAGGGAAAAACGCAGUUUUUGAAACGUCGAGCUGUGGACCAGAGGUGUUGGAUGGUUUAAAAGUAGAGCAAAAACGCAAAAACUAUUUCUUUUUUCAAUCGAUUUUAGUUACUUUGUUGUAAUUCAAAAAAUAUUACCUGAAUCUCUUAAGCUCAAUCAGAAUUCAGAGUAUCAGACUAAAAGAUAUAUAUCUUCAUGGCUAAAUAAUUUAUUUAGACAUGUAUAUCUAGAUAGUAGAUAUUAUGUCUUAGUAGUUAGUCCGUGGUUAAAUGUUGACUGCUUAGUGAUUGUUAUUGCAAUCAUACCUGGUUUUUCCCCUGCAUGACCACAUCGGCUGUCCAAAAACAUAACACAGUAUCUGACACAUGCCAUGAAUCCUAUUACUGAUAAUAGAAUCCAUGACAGGGAGAUUCACACCCUCGUCGUGUCCUAUUAUGUUCUGUAUAUUUAAAUUAUUCAAUACAUAGGUAAAAAAAUGCUGGUCACACGCUACCUACCUACAUGUUGAAAUGUUGAAUGUAUUCAACUCUUCACAAUACGAAGAGCUGUGAACCUCCCUUAAAUCCAUAUGACAAUGAUCCAGUAGUGACGCCGAAGGCCGAACGUGAAAUUAUUUACAGUGACGCUCGGUAGUGUUGUCCAAGUGGCCAAUCGCUCGCUGCGCUCGGACGGAAAAAACAAAAAUAUCCCUCGAUAUUCUAACAGUUCGAGGGAUAUUUUCGUUUUUUUUGUCCGAGCGUGGCGCAGCGAGUGAGUGGCCAAGCGGGCAUCACUGUGAAAUUUCCAUCUUAUCACUCACUAAAACAGACUCAGUGUCAAUCGUGGUAUCCUGAUAUUUUUUUAUUAUAGCAUUAUAGGACUAUUUUUAUUAAUUAGGGAUCUAGCAUUACAAAACAUAUUUUGUUGGUGUCCCGAGUCGCCAUAGCCCACACAUUAGAUCCACUUCUGGUGUUUAUUAUUUAAUAUUUGAAUCUAUAAGAUUAUAUUCUAGUAUUCUAUUGUCUCGCACUCUCGACUCACCUAUUCAAGAUUAUAACAUUGACACUUGGUGCCUUGGCAGUAUUUGGAAGAAAAUUCAAUCAUACAUAUAUUUACAUCUGUAAUUGGUAAUCACCUUCUAGUUAUACAUAUUGAAACGAAAAGUAAUAAAUAUGUUUGCAUCAAUGUUUAAAUUGAUUUUUAAUAAAUAUGAGGAAAAAACAAAGAUUGCAACUCAUGCUAUAGAAUUUGAAAUAGCUGAAAAUAC